rnacentral:rRNA from 1 species
UACGUAGGGUGCAAGCAUUAUCCGGAGUGACUGGGCGUAAAGAGUUGCGUAGGUGGUUUAAUAAGUGAAUAGUGAAACCUGGUGGCUCAACCAUACAGACUAUUAUUCAAACUGUUAAACUCGAGAGUAGCAGAGGUAACUGGAAUUUCUUGUGUAGGAGUGAAAUCCGUAGAUAUAAGAAGGAACACCAAUGGCGUAGGCAGGUUACUGGGCUAUUUCUGACACUAAGGCACGAAGGCGUGGGGAGCGAACCGG